rnacentral:misc_RNA from 1 species
AACGCACAUUGCGCCCUUUGGUAUUCCGAAGGGCAUGCCUGUUCGAGCGUCAUUAUCAACCAUCAAGCCUGGCUUGUCGUUGGACUUCUUUGUCACUGAAACAGCGUGACAGGUCCGAAAGAUAAUGGCGGUGUCGUGUCCGACCCGAGAUGCAACGAGCUUUUGACAGCACGCAUUGAAGUGGUCGGCCGGCCCGGUCCUCAACCAUUCCUUUUUCUCAGGUUGACCUCGGAUCAGGUAGGAAUACCCGCUGAACUUAA